UCAGAUUUUUGGCCAUUUACUCAAACCCUAGAGACCUCUCUUCACUCUCUCCUCUCUCUAUAAACCUCUCUGCCCGCCGCCACCUUCUCCACGGUGGCUCCGCCGGCCAAAAAUCGCCGCCGCCGGCGGACCACCUCCAAUCCACCCCAAAAUUUCACCAUCUCCUCCCCUCUUCCUCCUCUUUCUACCUAUACCACUAAAAAUCCCCAAAAACAUCUCAAUCUCACCAAAUCUAAACCUAAGCGUAACCCUAGCCGCCACCCGCCGCCGUUCACCAUCUCCAAUCCCCGCCAAAAUCGCACCAUUUCCUCCUCUUCUCCUCCUCCCUCCGUAUCUCCAACCCAUGUCCCCAAAAACCCCAUCGCCGCCGACCGGAACACCCUACUGCCACCACACCUCUGCCUCGUCCUAUCUCGUGACUUGAAGCACGAGUUUCUCAUUGUUGAUAUCGUGACUGACCUCUGGCUCGCUGGAAAUUACGGUCACAAUUCACCAAUUAGAAAAUCGUGCUCGAAGUUCACAUUGUUGUCGAGUUGGCGUUCCAACACUGCCCGAAUCACCACCACUGCCGCACCACUCGAUUUUCUGGUUCUUUACUAUAGUAGAAGAUGAUGAAAGAUUGGCCUGGUUUAGUUUAUUUCGAGCAAUUGUCUCCAAGGAAUCUGCUGAAUAUUUGAGUGCUGAAAGUUCCAUAUUAUGAUCAUUUUAUUGUUUAUAGUUAGUUUAUUUUGUAGUUGGCAGAUUUGUAUAACCAUGUUUUGGUGUUAGUUUGGGCUACUUAUAUCAUAGUGCAUAACUAUAGAAUUAGUGAGGUAAGAAUGUUUAAAUGUUCUAAUGUUGAAAAUUGAAUUGCUAAUAUUGUCAAAUCCUUUUGUUUUGUGCUAAACUUCAUAUGAUGAAGUUUCUGUUAUUG